rnacentral:rRNA from 1 species
UACGUAGGGUGCAAGCGUUGUCCGGAAUUAUUGGGCGUAAAGAGCUCGUAGGCGGUCUGUCGCGUCGGCUGUGAAAACCCGGAGCUCAACUCCGGGCCUGCAGUCGAUACGGGCAAACUGGAGUGUUGCAGGGGAGACUGGAAUUCCUGGUGUAGCGGUGAAAUGCGCAGAUAUCAGAAGGAACACCGGUGGCGAAGGCGGGUCUCUGGGCCGAUAUCGACGCUGAGGAGCGAAAGCGUGGGGAGCGAACAGG